rnacentral:tRNA from 1 species
GGAGAAUUGGCAGAGUGGUCGAAUGCGCUCGCUUGGAAGGCGAGUAUACGUGAAAGCGUAUCGUGGGUUCGAAUCCCAUGUUCUCCGCCA